UGCGUAGGUGGUCUUGUAAGUCAGAAGUGAAAGGCUACGGCUUAACCGUAGUAAGCUUUUGAAACUGCAGGACUUGAGUGCAGGAGAGGAAAGUGGAAUUCCUAGUGUAGCGGUGAAAUGCGUAGAUAUUAGGAGGAACACCAGUGGCGAAGGCGACUUUCUGGACUGUUACUGACACUGAGGCACGAAAGCGUGGGAAGCGAACA
rnacentral:rRNA from 1 species